AUGAACGCUAGCUACAGGCUUAACACAUGCAAGUCGAGGGGCAGCAUCAUCAAAGCUUGCUUUGAUGGAUGGCGACCGGCGCACGGGUGAGUAACACGUAUCCAACCUGCCGACAACACUGGGAUAGCCUUUCGAAAGAAAGAUUAAUACCGGAUGGCAUAAUUAUUCCGCAUGGGAUAAUUAUUAAAGAAUUUCGGUUGUCGAUGGGGAUGCGUUCCAUUAGGCAGUUGGCGGGGUAACGGCCCACCAAACCUACGAUGGAUAGGGGUUCUGAGAGGAAGGUCCCCCACAUUGGAACUGAGACACGGUCCAAACUCCUACGGGAGGCAGCAGUGAGGAAUAUUGGUCAAUGGACGAGAGUCUGAACCAGCCAAGUAGCGUGAAGGAUGACUGCCCUAUGGGUUGUAAACUUCUUUUAUACGGGAAUAAAGUGAGCCACGUGUGGCUUUUUGUAUGUACCGUAUGAAUAAGGAUCGGCUAACUCCGUGCCAGCAGCCGCGGUAAUACGGAGGAUUCGAGCGUUAUCCGGAUUUAUUGGGUUUAAAGGGAGCGUAGGCGGGUUGUUAAGUCAGUUGUGAAAGUUUGCGGCUCAACCGUAAAAUUGCAGUUGAUACUGGCGACCUUGAGUGCAACAGAGGUAGGCGGAAUUCGUGGUGUAGCGGUGAAAUGCUUAGAUAUCACGAAGAACUCCGAUUGCGAAGGCAGCUUACUGGAUUGUAACUGACGCUGAUGCUCGAAAGUGUGGGUAUCAAACAGGAUUAGAUACCCUGGUAGUCCACACAGUAAACGAUGAAUACUCGCUGUUGGCGAUAUACGGUCAGCGGCCAAGCGAAAGCAUUAAGUAUUCCACCUGGGGAGUACGCCGGCAACGGUGAAACUCAAAGGAAUUGACGGGGGCCCGCACAAGCGGAGGAACAUGUGGUUUAAUUCGAUGAUACGCGAGGAACCUUACCCGGGCUUAAAUUGCAACUGACGGAACCGGAAACGGUUCUUUCUUCGGACAGUUGUGAAGGUGCUGCAUGGUUGUCGUCAGCUCGUGCCGUGAGGUGUCGGCUUAAGUGCCAUAACGAGCGCAACCCUUACGGGUAGUUACCAUCAGGUUAUGCUGGGGACUCUACCCGGACUGCCGUCGUAAGAUGUGAGGGAGGUGGGGAUGACGUCAAAUCAGCACGGCCCUUACGUCCGGGGCUACACACGUGUUACAAUGGGGGGUACAGAAGGCAGCUACACGGCGACGUGGUGCUAAUCCCAAAAGCCUCUCUCAGUUCGGAUUGGAGUCUGCAACCCGACUCCAUGAAGCUGGAUUCGCUAGUAAUCGCGCAUCAGCCACGGCGCGGUGAAUACGUUCCCGGGCCUUGUACACACCGCCCGUCAAGCCAUGAAAGCCGGGGGUACCUGAAGUACGUAACCGCGAGGAGCGUCCUAGGGUAAAACUGGUGAUUGGGGCU
rnacentral:rRNA from 1 species